rnacentral:rRNA from 1 species
UACGGGGGGGGCAAGCGUUGUUCGGAAUUACUGGGCGUAAAGGGCUCGUAGGCGGCCAACUAAGUCGGACGUGAAAUCCCCAGGCUCAACCUGGGAACUGCGUCCGAUACUGGAUGGCUUGAAUUCGGGAGAGGGAUGCAGAAUUCCAGGUGUAGCGGUGAAAUGCGUAGAUAUCUGGAGGAACACCGGUGGCGAAGGCGGCUUCCUGGCCCAAUACUGACACUCAGGUGCGACAGCGUGGGGGAGCAAACAG